rnacentral:rRNA from 1 species
CCUACGGGCGGCUGCAGUGAGGAAUAUUGCGCAAUGGGGGCAACCCUGACGCAGCAACGCCGCGUGAGUGAGGAAGGUUUUCGGACCGUAAAGCUCUGUCGAGCGGGAAGAAAUGCAUGGUGGCUAAUAUCCAUCAUGCUUGACGGUACCGCUAAAGGAAGCACCGGCUAACUCCGUGCCAGCAGCCGCGGUAAUACGGGGGGUGCGAGCGUUGUUCGGAAUUAUUGGGCGUAAAGAGCGUGUAGGCGGCUGGAUCAGUCAGAUGUGAAAUCCCUGGGCUUAACCCAGGACGUGCAUUUGAAACUGUCCGGCUGGAGUAGGGGAGAGGAAAGUGGAAUUCCUGGUGUAGAGGUGAAAUUCGUAGAUAUCAGGAGGAACACCGGUGGCGAAGGCGACUUUCUGGCCCUAUACUGACGCUGAGACGCGAGAGCGUGGGUAGCAAACAGGAUUAGAUACCCUUGUAGUC